rnacentral:lncRNA from 1 species
UUCCUAGGGGUUCCAGAGAUUACUUGAGGCACUUUGCAUUCCAUCAUUUCUGGUGUCUCAACAGAUUCCCCCUGACAAAACUGAGUCUGGCUUUGCAGAUUCAAAGGAGAGUUUAUCCGUUCCACUGGUCCAUUCAAGUCGAUUGUAUGUCCAUUUAAGGGAUUUAAAUUGCACAUAUGUUGGCUUUGACUAGUUUCGUUAAAACUCAAAGGAGGUUGAGAACCUAAAUUAUCACCAUCUUUAUUGAAGCUUUGUCGAGGCACAUGAAGUGUAUGUACAGAGAAAUUUACCCUGUCAUGUGAGGAACCGUCUACCAUUGCAGUAUUAUCCCCACUCUUACCA